UACAGGUGGCAUUCAAUGGCAAAUUAAGCCUAAAAUUAUAAAUCCAGUGAUCUUUCCACUGAAUGAAAAUGCUGGUGGUAGUUCAAUAACUAAAUGACAUUUAAAAAUUGAGAACUGAAAAUAUUUUUUAACUAGAAAGGAGUAGGGGAGUUCCAUUAUCAAUUUGCUGAGUUUACAUAUUGUAGUUUCUUUGAAACUUUUGAUAGGCAUUUUCCAAUGGAGAAAUUGGGAUUAUCUUGUUGAUGCCAAAUAGUAUAGACAGGUAUGAUACAAUCCUUGACUGGGUUUCAAAAGCAGGGGUUGCUUCCAAGAUGAUUAUCUGACUAGGACUCUGGGAAGAAGGCACUCCUGUAAAUAGUCUCCUGUCUUGACCUAUAAAAAUGAGCUAACACGUCUUUGCUCUUUUUUCUCCAACUCAAAUUCAACAAAGCACUUCUUUCUUCCUGGGAUUGGGCAGAAACAAAUGCAUCAACACAACUAACUUCUCUCAAGCAUUGGUAAUGGCUGCUUUGAAGCAGAGCUAUGUUAGACUAAAUUAAUGAAAAUGCAUUUAUUCUGCUCUGACAAAUUUAAUUCAUCUUGGAUAAGUAGAGAAGGAAUUAAAUGGUAGGGAUGGAUAUAUAUAAGCUUUCUCAAGAGGAGAUUUUUGUGGAGUAUGUUCCUAAACCCCAACAUAUUGGAUAGAGAAGAAAGGAUUUUGUUUUGGUUUUUCUGCUGGGCAGUUUGAUCUCAGAAUCUAGUCUCCCUGAAGAAAAGAUCUAAGUAGUGCCAGUCUUGGGAGUUCACUGAAAUAUAAUUUCAAAUUUGAGAAUUCAUGGACUGGACAUUUUAUAGAUAUAUGAUUUUCUAUUUAAUAUGACUCCUAAGGUCACAAGCAUUCUGUAGGUAAAGGAAAAGCAAUGUUUAAAAGCAGACUUGGGAAAUAAGAAGGCAGGACAUCACCAAGCCUAUUGUUGCUAUGAAUGAUUCUCAGAGUUGGAGUGGCAAAAGAUGCCUUUGUGCCUACCUUAAAAUAUGUUCAUCAUUAGUGUGAAAUCAAAACCACCAGAAGAAUGUUAAAUCUUAGAAGGAUCUUGUGUGAGAAAUAGGGAUUCACCAGGACCGUAAGAUAAUCACAGGGACAUGGGUGGCUAUCUAGUCCAACACCUUAUUUUACAGAUAAGGAGACUGAGGCCCAAUAAAGUUAAAGUCCUACAGGCAGUGAGGACAAGAGGCAGGAUUGAAACCAGAAUCCCCUGACUCCAAAGCCAGUGUUCUUUCAAAACCAUACCACAAUACCUCCAAACUGUAAUGUUACUCUGUUGGCACCACUGAGUUGACUUUCUUCCUGGGAUUACCUAUGAAUGUUUCCUGUGGUUACUUCUACAUUUUUGUAGGGUUGAAAUAAAUAUUAAAUCUCAUAUGUUAUGCAAAUUUUGCCUUGCCUAGGAACUAGAGAUUACUUUUAUUCACAUCUCUAAAAAUCUUGGCAUGGGGCAAAUUUUAGUUGGGAGAAAUGAGCCAAGAGAAUAUGACCUUUUAGGGCCAGCCCCCAAGAUCAACCUAAGUCCAGGUAACCCCAAAGUCUUUGGGUCUGGGGGAAAGGUGCAGGUAUAAGUAGUGUCUGGGUGACAGAUUACAUGAAAAAUUGUUAGAAAGUGUUAAAUAUUAAUAUUUGGGGAAAUGCAUUCAAGAGGGGCACUGAGCUAGAAAAUUAGUGUGACAUAAGUUCAUCUCAUGGUUUGAAAAAAUAAAAAGACAUUAACCAUCCAGUCAAUGUCAUUUAUUGAAUAGUUCCUGGUUGCAAAACACUUUGCUUUAUAUUAUGGGGGAGAUAAAGAGAAAUGAAAAGACACAGACCUAUAUUUAUGAUGACUGGAAAGAGAAGACAAAUGAGUUUGAUUCCGUCUUAAAUGAGCAAGAAGAGUCAUUAAAUAAACAAGCAACUGGAAUGGCAUCCUUUUAAAAGCAUCUCUUUUAUUCAAAAGGAGGCAAAAAGACUUGGCAGAUCAAUAACAAUAAUAACACCUUAUAUUGAUUUGUAUAGUCUUGUACAGUAAAGCAUCCCCUUUUCUCCUUUGAGUCUCACAAAAUUGUGGAUAGACAGGAAAAGAAAGACAUUUCUCUAGCCCUUUGGGGUUAAACAAGUCCCCUCCCUUUCCCCUUCCCCCAAGGUCUUUGUGUAAUACUCAUUAUUCUGACUUUACCACUGAGGAAACUAAGGAUCAGAUUUGCCCAAUGCUGCCAAAUUGGAAAAAGCAGAACUAUGACUAGACCCCUAGGUCAAUGCUUUUUUUUAUAUAUACUGUAUCAGUGGGCAUAAUUAGUUAAAGAAACCUAGAGAAUUAAGGUUAUUGAGCUUAAAUGAUGACAAUUUAGUUUAGCUCAUAAAAAGACUCAGAAGGGUUAUUAUAAUGUAAAUAUAAAUGCAAAUUAAAAAUGUAUAGCUACAUAGCUUAUUGUUAAUGUUUCCCCCAGAGAAGUAUUCUACAAUUCAAGAAAUCUAUCAUAAUAGUUACAAUGUGUUUUUUACAAGGAAAAAUCUAUUCAAUAACUCUGGAGUUCUUUCUUACAUUAUGUAUUCAGACUCUAAAUAAAUUCAGGUACCAUUAAAAAGGAGGUAUUUAUUUUGGCACUUGACACAUUUGUUUGCAAGCUGCCAAGCACAAAUAGUAAGAUAAUCACAAUUUUGGGUAAUUAUUAGAAUUAGAAAACACAAAGGAAAUCUUUACCUUUGUUAUAUGCAAACAAUGCUAACUCUGAGGGGGAAAAACAACCCAGAAAUGAAAGAUUCAAUUGAAAAGAACUGAGAAUUAUAAAGCAACUUCUAGGGCAUCUAAAUUCCAAGGGUCAUUAAAUGAUGGCCAUCCAGCCAAAUUGGAACCCCUAUCUAUAUUUGUAUGGCUCACAAACUAAACAUGGUUUUAAAAAAUCAUUUAAAAAUACUUCACUUGAUAUCUAAUUUAUUUAACAUUUGAUUAAUGUGCAAAUACUUUUAAAUGUUAACUAAGUCUAAAUUUUAAACAUUUAAAUAUGAAACAUUUAAUAUUUUAAAUAUAAAAAACUAAAAAGCAUUCUUAGUUCAUAGACUAGUCAAAAACAGGCUGUGGGACAGAUUUGACUGUUGAUAUAUGAGAAUCCAACCUUUACCAGAAGAUUUCCUUCUACAUCAUAAGGACUUUGCUGUUUAGUCAUUUCAGUUUCAUGACCCCAUUUUGGGGUUUUCUUGGCAAGAUCCUGGAAUGGUUUGCCAUUUCCUUCCCUGGCUCAUUUUAAGAUAAGGAACUGCGGCAAACAAGGUUGAAUGACUUUCCCAGGGGCACAAAGCUAAUAAGAAUCUGAGGCCAGAUUUCAACUCCAGAUGAGUCUUCCUAUUUCCAAGCUAGUGCUCUAUGUCCCAUUGCACUUCGCUGCCCCCCCCCCCGCCUGUGUUUAAAGGGCUCCAGUGAGGAGGACACUGCUCUCUUUUAAGGAAGCAUAUUACAUAGAACUUUAACUGUUAAGAAAUUGUUUUGUUUCUCUUUCUUGAUUUCUGUCUAUAUUGAUCUCCUUUGCUGAUACUAUUGUUCCUGGAUCACAGUUAUGGAGAGAAAAAGAACAAAUUGAAUCCUGCUUUCAUGGAGGAGCUCUUGAAGUUCCAGAAGGCUUCCUACACCCCACCUCUCCCACCUCCACCUUCCAGUCUUAAAAGAAAAUGGCCAAACAUUGUCAGUUCCUACAAAGUGCCAGGAACUGUGUGAGGUGCUGGGUAUAAAAUUCAAAGAUAAAAGUUAAAAUAUCUCCAUUUCUUAUGACUGGUCUUUAUGCCGUAUAAACUCAAAAGCUUUCCCUCUCCUGAUUGCCUCCCUUAGUAAUCUCUGGAGCUUAUCAACAACUUUCCAAAGAUAGCCAGUGGAACAGUGGUUAAGAACACUCAAUAAUGUAGCUGUGGCUACACAUUGACUCAGAAAGACUCAAGUUCGAAUUCAGUCUCAAGCACUUAAUAGCUGGGUCACUCUGGGCAAAUCACUUAACAUCUAUUUGCCUUAAUUUCAUGGAGGGUAAAAUAGGGAUCAUAAAAGCACCUGUCUUCCAGGUUGUUGUGAGGAUACAAUAAGAUAUUUAUAAAGGACUUAGCAUGAGGACUGACACAUAGAAGGCAUUUUAUAAAUGUUUAUUUCCUUCCCCAUUUCUAAAAUGAAGCACCCAGGAUUAGAAUCAGUAUACAAGAUAUGGUCUGAAUAAGAUGGGGUCCAUCAUGAUAUUUACUUUCAUAGUCCUCCAUACUAGUCCUUUUAAAAUGGCCCAAUACUUCACUGGCUUUCUUGGCUUUCCCUAUCAUGUAGUUGACUCACAUUAAGUCUAUAAUCCAAUGAAAUGUGCAGGCAGACUCUAACUCAGGUUCCGUGUCCAAACAAAGGGCCAUUUCCACUGUGUUGCAGCUAGGUGGUACAGUGGAAAUGCCAAGCCUGGAUUCAGGAGAACUCAUCUUCCCCAAUUCAAAUCUGUCCUGAGUCUCUGGGCAAGUCACUUAACCCUAUUUGCCUUAGUUUCCUCAUCUGGAAAAUGAGCUAGAGAAGGAAAUGGCAAUCUGCUUGAGUAUCUUUGCCAAGAAAAUCUAUCCAACAGUUGGAAACUAUUAAAAAUGGAUGUGAUUAGUUAUUGGAUCAAGGAUAUAGUCUUCUUGAAUGUCAAUGACAGACUACUAAUCAUUUUGAUAUCCAAGCAGAGGCUAAUGCUAAACUGUCUAUACUUCGAUUCUUGACAAUCUGUCACAUUACAUUAAAUAGUAAAAACAUUUUUCACAUGCUGGUAUUCAAUCUUACAAGAAUUGUUUGCAUUUUAAUGACUCGUUUACCUUCUCUCUUUCUAUAUGCUAAUAGAUCAAGUACUCCAUAAUAGUAAAGUCACAGCAUAAGGUAAUUCAUUAUACUGAGAUGACUCUAACACUAUGUGGAUAAGAAAAGGUUGUUUUAUAUUUGCAUUUGAGCAACCUUUGAUGUCACUAAAUUUGUAAUCUGCUUGUUUGGGAAACUUUUAACUGGGAAAUUCUGUUCAUAUAACUUUAGUUUUUAUAUACAGAUUUGUUAUGUUGUUAUGUUUAGAAUGUCAUGAAUUUAAACUGGGAAACUUACAUCUUUAGUUCCUCAAGUUGGAUGGGGGUUGUAAUCCAAAGUAUCUUAUUCUGUCCAUCCAAAAACAUUAUUCUGAGAUAGGGUUUAUAGGUUUUAUCAGACUGCCAAAGGGGUCCAUGGGAUAAAAUUUAAGAACCCCUGAUUACCCUAACUCAGUCACUAAGUUAGUCAAAGGCAGAACUGGAAAGAGAAAUCAGUUCUACUGAUUUAAUUUUGUGUCUUAUUCCUCUUUCUACCAUACUGAAUCCAAGAGAAUACAUUGUCUAUAACUUGUACCCCAACAGUUCCUAACAAAGUCAGAAAAUUUGGUUGCAUGCCUUAAACAACUCUGCAUAUUGAAUUAAAUUUAAAGUAUUUUUCCAUAUUACAUGUCAAUACAAUUUAAUAUUUAUUUUCUGACAUUUUGCAAUCCAUGUUCUUUCCCUUCAUGCCUAACCCUCCCCUUCCUCAUAAGGCAGGUAAUAUGACAUAGUUCAUACAUAUAUUAUCAUACAAUACGUAUUUCUGUGUUUGUCAUGUUGUGAAACAAGACACAUUGCUUACAAUUUAAGAGAAAAAAAUUCAUGGAGGAAAUAAAAUGAAGAAUGGCAAGUUAAAAUUUAUAUUCAGACUCUACCUAUUCCAUCUAUGACAGUGGAUAUCCUUUUUUAUCAUGAGUCCCCUGGAGUUGUCCUGGAUCCUUACCUCACUGAUAAUAGUUAAGCCACUCACAAGUUGAUCAUCAUAUAUUAUUGUGACUGUGUACAGAGUUCUCCUGGUUCUGCUCUCUUCAUUUUGUAUCACUUCACACAGGUCUUUUCAUUUUUUGUCAUCAUCUUGUUCCUCAUUUCUUAUGGCAAAAUAGUAUUCCAUUGUAAUAAUAUACUACAACUUGUUCCAAUUUGUCUAUCUCAAAAAGAGCUACUAUAAAUAUUUUUGUACAGGCAGGGUCUUUUCUGUAUAUUGAAUUAGAGUGGAUAAGAUCAAGAAUAUGGCAAUUUAUGAAGUAACAAUAGGGAAAGCCUAGAAAAUCAGUCCAAGUGGGGUUUAUUAAAGAAAUCUUCAGAAAACUUGGAUUUGGACAGUAGAAAUCUUCAUUAAUCUAAAAUCAACUUGAGAGAUAAAUCAAUAACCCAUAUAAAUGUGUUUGUAGAGGUACCAUUGCUCUGUAUUCAUGAACCCUAUAAUAGAUUUCUUCACUCAGAAAAAAAAAAUUUCUCAGUGAUUUCAUUGACUCAGUUCUAGUUGCCCCAAUGUCAUCAUCUUUCCUGAAAUGUACUUAAAUAGUGUUUAAGUGUACUCAUUAAAAGCUUCCCUUGGCACUGGCCACAGUCCCUCUGCAACUUAUAUGCCCCAAUUUCUUUUUAAAGAAUCACAUCUCUUUACCUCGUCAUAGAUUUUUAGCUUAUCAUUAUAUGCUGUUUUUUAAAAAGACAAAAUACAUUUGUGAAAUAAAUAUGUAGAAUUGUUUCACCAUAGAACCUGUGCACAAGUGUCAUGUAUUGAGGUAAUUGCAUUAUUAUAUUUGAAAUGAUUAUUGGCUAUGUAUCUCAUACCUUCUACACGUCUUUAUGCAACUGACAACACAUUCAUCCCCAAAGUUCUGAAGUAAAUCAAAGAGUGCUACUAAGAAUAGAUCACAGGAACAGACUGAAUGAUCACCAUCUGCUUUCAGACUUUGCUUCCUAAUAUAAAUUAUGCACUUGUUUAGAAAUGUUUGAAAUUUUAAGCUCUAGAAAAAUAUCUCCAUUAUAGAAAAAAUGCAUCCAUAUAUCCAUUUGGUUGAUUGUUGGGAUAUCAGUAUUGCUACUUUGUGUAAUAAAUGCCCAACAAAAAAGGACAAUAAACCACAAGUCUCAUUGUAACCAUAAAAACUUAGAAUUAACAGAGAAAUGGUGAAGUCAUUGAGCUCAGUCUGAAAUCCACUGCCUUCUACAUUAUGCCUGCCAAAUGGCUGAUCAGUCUCUAUUAUGUUACCUUAAAUACCAAGAAUUCAUAUCUUGAGGCAACCCACUAUAUUUCAGUCCCUUCUGAUCAUAUAUUUUCCUUUAAACAAGUUGAAAACUACCUACCUGUAAUUCACAUCAAAGAGGCAGCUACUUCUCUGGAAUCAAGAAGACCUGAGAUCAAAUCUGACCUCAGACACUUACUAGCUGUGUGACCCUGAGUAAGUCACUUAACUUUCAUUGAGAAAUGCUGUAUCCUUGCAUCAAAAUCUGGAAGGUGUUCACUAUGAUAAGUUUGGAACAAUAGUAAAAAAAAUCUUUGGAACCUGGGAACCGAGAAUUAUGACCUAUGCUUCUUAGUCACCUAUGGAAUUUCAUUCAGUACUAAAUACCUCUUAGAUUUGCAUGUCCUCCUCCCCUUGCUGGUUCUUCUUAUCCAACUUUGGUCUUUUAAGUAUUUGAGAUUUUGUGGAAAGUUCUGUACUUCUGUAUUAAUUGCUCAUAUAUGGAAUAUAAUUAUUUAUUUUUUUUCAUGUUUCCAUGAUUUGUGUCCUCUUCCUCCCCUUUUCCCUCACUCCUCUCAGAGCUUACAAGCAAUUCUACUGGGUUAUACAUGUAUUAUCACUCAGAACCUGUUUCCAUAUUAUUCAUUUUUGUAAUAAAAUAAUCUUUAAAAAAUCAAAAUCCCACAUCCUACACCCAUAUAAACAAGUAAUAAUUCAAAUUUUUACAAGUAUUUUUCUUUAUUAUCUCCUUGGGGUACAAACCUAGUAGUGGCAUUGCUGGAUCAAAGGGCAUGCAUUAUUUUAAAACUCUUUAGGCCUAAUUUAUGGAAUCUUAUUUGGAGUGAUGAAAGGCUCUAUUCUCUCUCAGUACAGUCAGACUCUGGUAUUCAGUUCCAUAUGGUGAUUGCCAGUCCCUAUGAGAUUUAUGGAAUCUUUCUAGAGCACUCUGGGCCUCCUGGACUCAGAACAUUGAACUCUAUUAAGUGCUUUGGCUCCUUUAACUUACUAAUCAAUGAGACUAAAGAUGGAAUUGAUGGUUAGUUAUCCCUCUUCUCUCUACCAUAUGAAGCAGUGGACUCAGUCCUCUGACAUCCACUGUUACUUAGUGCAUCUAGUAAUUCUUGGUCAAAUAGUACAUCAUAAAGAUGGUUAGGAAGACUACCAGGGAUAAUAACACUGUCACUAUCAGUAGAAAAGAACAGUGGAACCUAUGGUGUUUCCUCUACCUCAAACCUAUGCAUGUCCUGACAGUCAGAUAAAAAGUCUUUCACAUCUCUAGAGCACAUCCCAGUUUCUGGUUCCAACUUUUGUCAUACAGAUUUUCUCCUCUUAAAAAGGGAUGCAUCUUAGCUAUGAUGAGUGUCUCUUUACUCAUUCUCCAGUCUGUAACCAAAUUUGCCUUACUCUAUUGAAGAAGGAAAUGUUAAACCACUUCAGUUUCUUUGCUAAGAUAACCCAGUGGUCCAUGGGGUUACAAAGACUCAGACAUGACCAAAGUGAACAACAAUCAUUUCACUACUACGGUAAGACACUACUAUACCAACUAUAUACAGUUACUAUACUGGAAGAGGCAAUUAAAGGUCUGAACACCACACAAGAAUGGGAAAACAUAUUGUUUUUCAUUGCUUUAUAAACCAAAUUCAAUGGUGUUGAGAACAGGCAAUAAUUUUGAGAUCUGGACAUUUGAAUACACACAGCAUCAAAGAGAGAUUGUACUGACCUUCAGGUGAACUUUUUCAAUGAACAACACUUCCUCAAAUGGACUGAAAACACUAGAACUAAUGCAUGGAAAGUAAUAGCAGAGCUAAGUAAUCACUCAAAAUGCUAAGAGUUUUGAAAAGAAGGACUAUGAGAGAAACUCCUUCACAGAUUUUGACCCACCUAAUGGAGCAGCAAUACUGGUGAAAAGGGAAGGAGAAAAACUAGCAACCUAUUGCAGGAAAAGCCCAAAAGGAAGUCAUUGUUGAAAUACUUAUCUGCUCCCAUGUCAAGAAGACUUGUUUCCAGUUAAUAGACUGAAAAUAUCCAGUCUUUCCCCACAAACCUUGUCCCCUCCUUAAAAUAAAAUUUAACCUUAAAACAAAUAGACCACCAAUCAGACCCUUGCCACUAUAACACCUUGUUUCAUCAAUUAUCAAUGUUUCAAUCCUCCAUGAUAUGGUGGUGGUGGUAGUAGUCUCUCGGUAACCGAGGAUGACGAUUGUCUUUGUGCAUUUUUGUGCACAAAGACACUUGGGCACAAAGAUUUAAGUGGAAAAGUCAAUGCACAGAGACAGUCCCACUCUCUUGGCGUUGGAAGCCUGGGUCCAGUGGCAUUAAAAGUCUUCCUCAGAUGCAUUGGAUGGCCGUGUUGUCCUUUGUGCUCCAACAUGCCCUAAGCACUCCACAGUGCCUUGCUGCAUCACCAUCUCAGCCGUUGAAGCUUCUUGUUGGUUUCUUCUGCCUGUUCCACCAAAGUGGAAACUGUAAAAUUGUACAGAGAUAAACAUCUAAAUGCAUCUGUAACAAGACUCCUACAAUUCAUAUCAUUGGAAAUGAUGGAAGCAUUGAUAUUGGAACUUGUGUUAUAAGAAGGUAUCAUCUUCAGAUUUUCAGUCACAUCUGCCAAUGUCAGGAACCCAGAUGAAACAAAGGAUAGCACUACUCCAAAAACCUUCAUAUAGUAAUAUGUGGUAGCAGAUAUAAUCUCUUUAAUAAAGUGGGAAAUCAUUCACUCUCAAUAUGCUAACUUAAUCCAGAGGGAGUGUGGAAUAAUGAUAACGAUGACCCAAUCUCACUACAUAGUUCAAAUUGGCAUUAGAAGCAUGGAACCAUACAUGCUCUGUUUUAAAAUACUAUACUUUUAUUGGAGGGUAUAGUAGCCCACUGAUUUCAUAUCUCUUUUUAAAAGAGCUUUUGCUUCAAUUUUCAGUUUCUGUUUCUUUCUAUCCUGUUUCUUGCCCUAAGGAUGGAAUCAUGCCAAGGUUAAAUGGAUGGACAAUAGAACCCUUUUGGUUGGCAAUUUUUAAAAAAAUUUGGCAUGCUUAGGCCAUUUUAGUUUAGAUUUUCAUAGUCUGUGAUAUCAUUUCCUGUAAGAUCCAGAAGAGAUCAAUAUGUCUCAUUAAAACUCAUUAAAAGAGUUUUACAUAUGGAAGGAAUUCAAUAAAUGUUCUUGAAUUGAAUUUCCCUUCUAAACCUUUAAAUAUCCAAUUUGUUUGUCUAAUCCUCAGGGGACAUGAUUUUUUUCCCUCCACUAGUCUAUCUGUAGCUUGUCAUCAUCCUCCUAAACUGUCACACGGAACUGAGCAAAAUACUCCAAAUGUGAUCUGAUAAUUUCUAAUAUGUAGAACAGAGAAAAUAAUUGUACGGCACCUCCUGAUUUCUGAGUACUAUACUUUUUUGUUGAUAUAGUUGAAAAUCACAGUUGAUCUGUGAUUGUCAGAUGACAGUGUUGAUCCAUAUAUGGUCUGUAGUACAUUACUCUAAGUCUUCAAAUGAAUUUUUGUCAUAUCUCUUCUUUUUAGACAUUUUCAAUCAAUUCUUAUAGUUUAUUUAUUUUUUAAAUGUUAAAAUCCAUACUUACCUAUUCAAAAUUAUCUUGUUGUACUUAGACCAUAACUUUAAAAAGUUUAGUUCUUUCAUAAUCAUGAUUCUACUAUUAUUAUCUGUAAGUCAGUACAAAAGGCAGUUGGCAUAAAUUCAUUACUUAAUAUUCCUUAUUUGAGAGUUGAAAUUAGCAUUGUUUAUGACACUUCAGUGUCUUUAGCUCUCUUAAUCUGCCUUGGAUAUAAAUUAGUACAACUUCUCAUUUUGUAUAAUUAGAAAACUUAAAACAAAAUUACAAUAUUCACAAAGUCAAGUAAUUUUAAAAUUUACUUGAAAAUGCUAUAUAUCACUUUUAGAUAGUUUGUGACAUCAAAAAUGACAUGGUUUUACAAAUCUAGGAUGAUUAUCUGAUAUGGCAUCACAAUGAUAUUACUGAAUGACAACAUAAUGAGUAACCAUUCCACUAUGGCCAGAAAGGUUCAGCCCUUUAAUAGAAUAUUUCAUCAUAUUUGGACCUCCAUAUUUUACGGAAUAUACGAGAGGAUGAUAAAGCUUUUUUUUUUCUUUUGAGUGAGAUAUUGUACACAGUUUAUCCAACUCUAUAAAAAAUAAAAUGAUGGUCAAUAAAUAUUCUUGACAAGAUCUUCCAAGUUGGUGUCCACUACAAUGAUUUGUGCCACUGUCCAUGGCACUAACAACUUGAAAAUGUUCUUCAUGUAUGUGAGAGUCUGUAUUGCAACCAUGGUGAAAAGGGCUUCAAUCAAAGCUUUUAACUCAGCACACUGGACACUAACAUGACUUGGUAAUGAUGCAUGCCAAAGCAUUUUGUCAUUAUUUACUACAGCUGCCCCUGUGACCCUCUGUCCUCCAUAGAUUUGUGAGGAUCCAUCAGUGUAUAACUCCAUAUCAGGAUCACUAAGAGGUGUGUCUUUAAGACCUUCUCUAGUCUUAUACAUCAUUUCCACCCUUUGGUUACAAUCAUGCAGUGGUUCUUCACCUAAUGGCAAUUCUGGAAUCAAAGUUAUUGGAUUCACUGGUACACACCUAUGAAGGUUUAUGUCAUCAUUACCCAGCAAAAUGAUUUCAUACUGAGAUAUUCUUGUAUUUGUAAAAGUAUGCUAAUUCUGUGAUCAUAAUAGGUUUUCAAUCUGAUGUGCAGAAUACACAUGUAACUUGCAUCUCAGUACAAUAUCAUUUGCUUUCUUCACCAUGAGAAGAGUUGCAACAAUGCUUCUCAGGCAGUGUACCAUUCCUCGUGCAACCAGAUCUAGGAUAGAACUGUAAAAUGCAAUAGGUCUUAAAUUCAACCCAAAUUAUUGUGCCAACAUCCCUGAAGUGAUGCCCUUACUUUGAAAUAUGGGAAUAUGGGAAUACCCUAUGAUACCCUAUGAUAUACUGUCUUGAAAAACCAACAACCCCUAGGAAUGCUCUGAGUUGUUUCUUGGUACUAGGGAUACACCUAUCCAUUUGCUUGCAAUUUUCCUGGUACCCUUUUCCAGGAUAAAUCCAAAAUAUUCUACUUUUGGAAGUACCUGUUGAAUCUGCUUCUUAGAGACCUUGUGUCCUCUCUUAUAAAACUCUAUCAAUAGUCUUUUUGAAUCUUCCAAGUAUGUCUUUGGAUCUGGUGAUGCUAAAGGUAAAUCAUCCACAUACUGCACUAAAGUGCACUAAGUUGCUGUGUUUGAAACUGAUAUUUGCUAGAUCUCUAUGAAGUAGUUGGCAAAAUAUAGAGACUGAUUCGUAACAUCCUUGAACAAGCCUCAUGUAGCAUAGCUGAUUUUGUCCCUGUUAGAAAGCGAAAAUCUUUUGGAGUCAGGGUGCAAUGGUAUGGUGAAAUAUGCAUUGCUCAAAUCUAUCACUGUGUGCCACAGGGCAUCUGGUGGAAUCUGUGUGAUAAUAUCAUUUGGAGAAGGUGUCACUGUGUACGUUUUCUUUAUCAAGUUGUUCACUGUCCUAAGAUCCUGUACAAAUCUCCAGCAUUGUGUCUCAUCUGCAUUUAGCUUGUUCUUCUUAAUAAAUAAAAUUGGACUAUUAAAUUCAGACAUUGUAAUGCCAUGGGCAAAGUCCACCCUUGCUCAUGACUCCAGGGUUUCCCGACAGGUGGUGAAUGAUCAGUCAAACUGAAGACAGCUUAAUCAUUAAGGCCAUGGGACUGCUUUGCAUCUUAUAGCUGCUCCGCCAUACCCAGGCCAGUGUUUAUUUUUAUACCCAUUUUCUUGACACACAGAUACAUUACCUAACACACAUGUUCAAAGAGAGAUAAUUGGAAAAGUGAUACAUUAACUUUUUUUUUAAACCCUUACCUUCCGUCUUGGAGUCAAUACUAUGUAUUGGCUCCAAGGCAGAAGAGUGGUAAGGGCUAGACAAUGGGGGUCAAGUGACUUGCCCAGGGUCACACAGCUGGGAAGUGUCUGAGGAUAGAUUUGAACCUAGGACCUCCCAUCUCUAGGCCUAGAUCUCAAUCCCCUGAGCCACCCAGCUGCCCCCAAUACAUUAACUUUUAACAAAUCACUUGAUUAACAUUCUAUAUUCUUGUUUUAUGAUUACAGACAGAAUAAAAGGUUGCACACAAGAUAAAUGAUUUUGUCACAGGUGGCUUAAUUUUCGCAUUACCCUGUGAGAAGUUUUGAGCUUACAAUCAAGAAAAUUACUUAUUACUUUUAAUAAAAUGGAAUAAUUAAUCAACAGUUCUUAAAAGACAAUUCAACAGACUUCCAGGUAAACAUGGCUGCAAUCUAGACAUGAAUCGCUUCCUCUCCCUGGCACCUAAUGAAAUAGACUACCUCAAAAGAGCAUAAAAAUCACCUUUGGAAGAAUGGAGGGACUCUCCAGGACCCCACAGAAAUGAAGGUAUGUGGGGUUUGAAUAUUUCCACACUAUAAGAAGGAGGAAAAGCUUGCACAAAAACGUGAACUGAGCCACCCCCCCAAACCAGAGUAAGGUAUCAGAGCUCUCAGUGGGACAGUGAGUGAGUGAGUGAGGAAUGUCUCUGUCGGGGGUGGGGGGGGGAACACCAGGGUCCCUGGGAUCUAAAGACUGCUAGGAAAUGACCUCUCAGGGAAGUUUCAUGAAAUGAAACAGUGCAGGAAGAAUCCUGCACUGAGUACUGGGGUGGCCUCGCUGAACACAGGGGCAGUUGCACAGAGCACAGGGGCCUUCACUCUAAGAAACCUCAGAGGCUGGGAAAAACUAGUCUGAGGCAACCUAAAUUCACAGAAAACCUGCCCAUAUCACCCAGACCCCAUACCAAAAAGGAAAGGGGAAUAAAACCACCAAAGGAAUGGCUCACACAACCCAAAAUAAAGCCUCCAAGAAGAAAGGGAAAAAUGUGACUUGAAAAUUUUAUGGAGGGAGUACCCAAAGAAAUGAAGAGAAAGAGGAUGAAAUCCAAACAAAAUCAAAACAUGCCUCCCAAAAUGGAAAUUAUCCACAAGCUCUGGAUGAACUCAAAUUGCAGCUUAUCCAAAAGAUGGAAACCUUCUGGAAAGAAAAAUGGGAGAAAGGGAUCAGCAGUCUGAUAUACAAGACUUCACAAUUGGAGAAUGAGCUGGAAGCAUCUAAUAGAAGGGCAGACAAAGCUGAAAAGCAAAACCAGUCCCUAACAACCAGAAUUAAGCAACUGGAAGACAGUGAGCUUGCAAAACAGCAAGAAUUAAUAAAGCAAAGCCAAAAAAUUAAUGAAUUAGGAGAAAACAUAAAAUAUCUCACUGAAAAGGUCACAGACCAGGAAAACAGAGGGAGAAGAGACAAUGUGAGAAUUAUUGGUCUGCUCGAAAAACCAGAGAAAAACAAAAACCUUGAUGCUAUACUACAGGAGAUUAUAGAAGACAAUUGCCCACAUGUUCUGGAGAAAGGGGGCAAAAUAGAAAUAGAAAGGAUUCAUAGAACACCCUCUAUACUAAAUCCCCAAAAGACAACCCCCAGGAAUAUAAUCACCAAAUUCAAAGCUUCCAAGAAAAGGAGAAAAUCCUACAAAAAGCCAAGAAGAAGAACUUCAGAUAUAGGGGGGCUCCCAUAAGGAUCACACAUGACUUAGCGGCUAACACACUAAGAGACCACAAAGCAUGGAACAUGAUAUUUAGAAAGGCAAGAGAGCUGAGUCUCCAACCAAGAAUCAACUACCCAGCAAAACUGACUAUAUACUUCCAGGGGAAAGUAUGGGCAUUCAACAAAGUAGAAGAUUUCCAAACAUUUGCUAAGAAAAGACCAGAACUUAGUGGAAAUUUUAACAUCCAGUCAUAGAAAGCAAGACUAUCAGAGAGAUGCAAAUCAAAACAACUCUGAGGUAUUACCUCACACCUAGCAGAUUGGCUAACAUGACAGCUAUGGAAAGUAAUGAAUGCUGGAGGGGAUAUGGCAAAGUGGGGACAGUAAUUCAUUGCUGAUGGUGUUGUGAAUUGAUCUAACCAUUCUGGAGGGCUAUUUGCAACUAUGCCCAAAGGGAGAUAAAAGACUGUCUGCCUUUUGAUCUAGCCAGAGCACUGCUGGGUUUGUACCCCAAAGAAAUAAUAAGGAAAAAGACUUGUACAAGAAUAUUCAUAGCUGUGCUCUUUAUGGUAGGAAAAAAAAACGGAAAAUGAGGGCAUGUUCUUCCAUUGGGGAAUGGCUGAACAAAUUGUGGUAUAUGUUGGUGAUGGAAUACUAUUGUGCUAAAAGACAUAAUAAAGUGGAGGAAUUCCAUGGAGUCUGGAACAACCUCCAGGAAGUGAUGCAGAGUGAAAGGAGCAGAACAAGGAAAUCAUUAUACACAGAGACUGAUACACUGUGGUACAAUCGAAGGUAAUGGACUUCUCCAUUAGGGUCAAUGCAAUGUCCCUGAACAAUCUGCAGGGAUCUAAAAAACACUAUCCACAAGCUGAGGAUAAACUGUGGGAGUAAAAACACCGAUGAAAAGCAACUGCUUGACUACAGGGGUGGAGGGGACAUGAUUGAGGAGAGACUCUAAAUGAACACUAAUGCAAAUACCAACAACAUGGAAAUGGGUUCGAAUCAAGAAUACAUGUGAUACCCAGUGGAAUCGC